rnacentral:rRNA from 1 species
UACGUAGGGGGCAAGCGUUGCCCGGAUUUAUUGGGCGUAAAGAGCGUGUAGGCGGCUAGGUAGGUCCGUUGUGAAAACUCGAGGCUCAACCUCGAGACGCCGAUGGAAACCAUCUGACUAGAGUCCGGAAGAGGAGAGUGGAAUUCCUGGUGUAGCGGUGAAAUGCGCAGAUAUCAGGAAGAACACCUAUGGCGAAGGCAGCUCUCUGGGACGGUACUGACGCUGAGACGCGAAAGCGUGGGGAGCGAACAGG